GACGAACGCUGGCGGCGUGCCUAACACAUGCAAGUCGAACGGACGGACCAGAAGUUUGCUCGGAUGAGGGUAGCAGAGGACGGGAGAGGCACACGUGGAUAACCCACCUAUGAGACAGGUAAGAUUACGGGAGAUGGGCGCUUAUAGCGGAUAAUAUUUUGAAAUGCAUGGGGCAAGAGUGAGAGUCGGUCUUUGGGUAAGUAAUAGCUGAAUCCGCGCUGCAUUAGCUAGUUGUUAAGGUAACGGCUUACCAAGGCGACGAUGCAUAGCCGACCUGAGAGGGGGAUCGGCCACACUGGAACUGAGACACGGUCCAGACUCCUACGGGAGGCAGCAGUAGGGAAUCUUCCGCAAUGGGCGAAAGCCUGACGGAGCAACGCCGCGUGAGUGAUGAAGGUCUUCGGAUCGUAAAACUCUGUUAUUAGGGAAGAACAUAUGUGUAAGUAACUGUGCACAUCUUGACGGUACCUAAUCAGAAAGCCACGGCUAACUACGUG
rnacentral:rRNA from 1 species